UACGUAGGGGGCAAGCGUUGUCCGGAUUUAUUGGGCGUAAAGAGCGUGUAGGCGGCCAGACAGGUCCGUUGUGAAAACCUGGAGGCUCAACCUCCAGACGUCGAUGGAAACCGUCUGGCUAGAGUCCGGAAGAGGAGAGUGGAAUUCCUGGUGUAGCGGUGAAAUGCGCAGAUAUCAGGAAGAACACCCGUGGCGAAAGCGGCUCUCUGGGACGGUACUGACGCUGAGACGCGAAAGCGUGGGGAGCGAACAGG
rnacentral:rRNA from 1 species